UUAACUAUUAUAUAGUACUCAGACAUCACUAAAAACAAGAGUUGUGGUCCUCUGGCGGGCGCGCAGCAGCCGAAGCCGCUGGCCGAGACGGCGGCCCGCCAAAGCAACAAGGGUAGUUUAUUCAAGGGUUACCUAGGUAUUGCUGACAUCACGCGAGGGUUGCCCCUAUGUACGCGAACGACUAGGUUUAUUAAUGAUCCUUCCGCAGGUUCACCUACGGAAA
rnacentral:misc_RNA from 1 species